rnacentral:rRNA from 1 species
AGAGUUUGAUCCUGGCUCAGGAUGAACGCUAGCGACAGGCUUAACACAUGCAAGUCGAGGGGCAGCACAGGGUAGCAAUACUUGGGUGGCGACCGGCGCACGGGUGAGUAACGCGUAUGCAACUUACCUAUCAGAGGGGGAUAGCCCGGCGAAAGUCGGAUUAAUACCCCAUAAAACAGGGGUCCCGCAUGGGAAUAUUUGUUAAAGAUUCAUCGCUGAUAGAUAGGCAUGCGUUCCAUUAGGCAGUUGGCGGGGUAACGGCCCACCAAACCGACGAUGGAUAGGGGUUCUGAGAGGAAGGUCCCCCACAUUGGUACUGAGACACGGACCAAACUCCUACGGGAGGCAGCAGUGAGGAAUAUUGGUCAAUGGCCGAGAGGCUGAACCAGCCAAGUCGCGUGAAGGAAGAAGGAUCUAUGGUUUGUAAACUUCUUUUAUAGGGGAAUAAAGUGGAGGACGUGUCCUUUUUUGUAUGUACCCUAUGAAUAAGCAUCGGCUAACUCCGUGCCAGCAGCCGCGGUAAUACGGAGGAUGCGAGCGUUAUCCGGAUUUAUUGGGUUUAAAGGGUGCGUAGGUGGUGAUUUAAGUCAGCGGUGAAAGUUUGUGGCUCAACCAUAAAAUUGCCGUUGAAACUGGGUUACUUGAGUGUGUUUGAGGUAGGCGGAAUGCGUGGUGUAGCGGUGAAAUGCAUAGAUAUCACGCAGAACUCCGAUUGCGAAGGCAGCUUACUAAACCAUAACUGACACUGAAGCACGAAAGCGUGGGGAUCAAACAGGAUUAGAUACCCUGGUAGUCCACGCAGUAAACGAUGAUUACUAGGAGUUUGCGAUACAAUGUAAGCUCUACAGCGAAAGCGUUAAGUAAUCCACCUGGGGAGUACGCCGGCAACGGUGAAACUCAAAGGAAUUGACGGGGGCCCG